rnacentral:rRNA from 1 species
AUUGAACGCUGGCGGCAUGCCUUACACAUGCAAGUCGAACGGUAACAGGCCGCAAGGUGCUGACGAGUGGCGAACGGGUGAGUAAUGCAUCGGAACGUGCCCAGUCGUGGGGGAUAACUGCUCGAAAGAGCAGCUAAUACCGCAUACGACCUGAGGGUGAAAGCGGGGGACCGAAAGGCCUCGCGCGAUUGGAGCGGCCGAUGUCAGAUUAGGUAGUUGGUGGGGUAAAGGCCUACCAAGCCGACGAUCUGUAGUUGGUCUGAGAGGACGACCAGCCACACUGGGACUGAGACACGGCCCAGACUCCUACGGGAGGCAGCAGUGGGGAAUUUUGGACAAUGGGGGCAACCCUGAUCCAGCAAUGCCGCGUGCAGGAAGAAGGCCUUCGGGUUGUAAACUGCUUUUGUCAGGGAAGAAAUCCUGUGGGUUAAUACCUCGUGGGGAUGACGGUACCUGAAGAAUAAGCACCGGCUAACUCUGUGCCAGCCGCCGCCGUAACAC